rnacentral:rRNA from 1 species
AGAGUUUGAUCCUGGCUCAGAUUGAACGCUGGCGGCAUGCUUUACACAUGCAAGUCGAGCGGCAGCGCGGGGACAACCCUGGCGGCGAGCGGCGAACGGGUGAGUAAUGCAUCGGAACGUACCCUGGAGUGGGGGAUAACGCCGCGAAAGCGGCGCUAAUACCGCAUAUGCUCUGAGGAGGAAAGUGGGGGACCGCAAGGCCUCACGCUCUGGGAGCGGCCGAUGUCCGAUUAGCUAGUUGGUGAGGUAAAGGCUUACCAAGGCGACGAUCGGUAGCUGGUCUGAGAGGAUGAUCAGCCACACUGGGACUGAGACACGGCCCAGACUCCCACGGGAGGCAGCAGUGGGGAAUUUUGGACAAUGGGGGCAACCCUGAUCCAGCCAUGCCGCGUGAGUGAAGAAGGCCUUCGGGUUGUAAAGCUCUUUUGGUCGGGAAGAAAGUGCUCUGCUUAAUACGCGGGGUAUUUGACGGUACCGGCAGAAUAAGCACCGGCUAACUACGUG